rnacentral:rRNA from 1 species
GGAGGUAGAGCACUGAAUUUCCUAGGGGGCGUCAAAGCUUACCGAAGAAUAUCAAACUCCGAAUGCCGUAAAGAUGAUUCUUGGGAGUCAGACUGCACGAGAUAAGUUGGGCAGUCAAAAGGGAAAGAGCCCAGACCUACAGCUAAGGUCCCAAAGUGCGUGUUAAGUGGAAAAGGAUGUGGGAUUUCGAAGACAACCAGGAUGUUGGCUUAGAAGCAGCCACCAUUCAAAGAGUGCGUAAUAGCUCACUAGUCGAGAGGUCCGCGCCGAAAAUGUCCGGGGCUGAAACACGACACCGAAGCUCAGGAAUGCAUCGAAAGAUGGAUUGGUAGAGGAGCAUUGACAGCGCGCAGAAGCUGUACCGGAAGGAGCAGUGGAGUGCUGUGGAGAGAGAAUGCCGGAAUGAGUAGCGAGAUGAAGGUGAGAAUCCUUCAGGCCGAAUAUCCAAGGAUUCCAGGGUAAAGCUGAUCUGCCCUGGGUAAGUCGGGGCCUAAGGCGAGGUGGAGACACGUAGCCGAUGGAGAGCAGGUGGAGAUUCCUGCACUGCCGUAUAACAGAACUGUGGGGACGCAUGGGGAGAGCAUGAGCCGGGAGAGGGAAACCCGGUGGAAACAGCGGAGAUGAGGGGCAGGCAAAACCGUCCGUCAAGUCAAGGCUGCGAAGGAGCGAAAAGAAGUAGCGAAGCAUGCAAGACCGGUGCCGAGAAAAGCCGCUAUCGUUCAUACGGUACCCGUACCGCAAACCGACACAGGUAGAUGAGGAGAGAAUCCUAAGGCCGACGGGAGAAGCAUUGUUAAGGAACUCGGCAAAAUGACCCCGUAACUUCGGGAGAAGGGGUGCCACGGUAAAACGUGGCCGCAGAGAAUAGGCUCAGGCAACUGUUUAGCAAAAACACAGGUCUAUGCGAAACCGAAAGGUGAGGUAUAUGGGCUGACGCCUGCCCGGUGCUGGAAGGUUAAGAGGAGGGCUUAGCGCAAGCGAAGGUCUGAAUUGAAGCCCCAGUAAACGGCGGCCGUAACUAUAACGGUCCUAAGGUAGCGAAAUUCCUUGUCGGGUAAGUUCCGACCCGCACGAAAGGCGUAAUGAUCUGAGCGCUGUCUCGACAAUGCACCCGGUGAAAUUGAAGUACCAGUGAAGAUGCUGGUUACCUGCGCCUAGACGGAAAAGACCCCAUGGAGCUUUACUCCAGCUUGAUACUGGGAUCCGGUGCUGUAUGUACAGGAUAGGUGGGAGGCGAAGAAAUUGGGACGCCAGUCUCAAUGGAGCCGGUGUUGGGAUACCACCCUUGCAGUACUGGAUUUCUAACCUGCAGCCGUGACCCGGCUGGGGGACAAUGUCUGGCGGGGAGUUUGACUGGGGCGGUCGCCUCCGAAAGGGUAUCGGAGGCGCUCAAAGGUUCCCUCAGAAUGGACGGAAACCAUUCGGAGAGCGCAAAGGCAGAAGGGAGCUUGACUGCGACACCGACGGGUGGAGCAGGUACGAAAGUAGGACUUAGUGAUCCGGUGGUAUAAAGUGGGAUUGCCGUCGCUCAACGGAUAAAAGCUACCCUGGGAUAACAGGCUUAUCACUCCCAAGAGUUCACAUCGACGGAGUGGUUUGGCACCUCGAUGUCGGCUCGUCACAUCCCGGGGCUGGAGAGGUCCCAAGGGUUAGGCUGUUCGCCUAUUAAAGCGGUACGCGAGCUGGGUUCAGAACGUCGUGAGACAGUUCGGUCCCUAUCCGGCGCAGGCGCAGGAUAUCUGAGAGGAGCUGUCCUUAGUACGAGAGGACCGGGAUGGACGGACCGCCGGUGUACCUGUUGGAUACCAGAUCCAUGGCAGGGUAGCCGAGUCCGGCAGGGAUAAACGCUGAAGGCAUC